UGGGGAAUAUUGGACAAUGGGCGCAAGCCUGAUCCAGCCAUGCCGCGUGGAUGAAGAAGGCCUUAGGGUUGUAAAAUCCUUUCGCUAGGGAAGAUAAUGACGGUACCUAGUAAAGAAGCCCCGGCUAAUUUCGUGCCAGCAGCCGCGGUAAUACGAAAGGGGCUAGCGUUGUUCGGAAUUACUGGGCGUAAAGCGCGCGUAGGCGGACUAUUAAGUCAGGGGUGAAAUCCCGGGGCUCAACCCCGGAACUGCCUUUGAUACUGGUAGUCUAGAGUUCGAGAGAGGUGAGUGGAAUUCCAAGUGUAGAGGUGAAAGUCGUAGAUAUUUGGAGGAACACCAGUGGCGAAGGCGGCUCACUGGCUCGAUACUGACGCUGAGGUGCGAAAGUGUGGGGAGCAAACAGGAUUAGAUACCCCCGUAGUCG
rnacentral:rRNA from 1 species